CGCGUAGGCGGCGGACCUUGUCGAGUGUGAAAGCCCCCGGGCUCAACCUGGGAGGUGCGCUCGAGACGGGUUUGCUGGAGUUCGGGAGAGGAGAGUGGAAUUCCCAGUGUAGAGGUGAAAUUCGUAGAUAUUGGGAAGAACACCGGUGGCGAAGGCGGCUCUCUGGACCGAGACUGACGCUGAGGCGCGAAAGCGUGGGGAGCAAACAGGAUUAGAUACCCUGGUAGUCCACGCUGUAAACGAUGUGUGCUAGACGUUGGGGAGCGUAGCUCUUCGGUGUCGCCGCAAACGCUUUAAGCACACCGCCUGGGGAGUACGGCCGCAAGGUUAA
rnacentral:rRNA from 1 species